UCCAGGUUAGAAUGAUAAGUCCAUUCUACGAAGCCAUCAGAGUUGGUAUGGAACUACAGGAUGUUGGGACUUGGCUUCCUUCUAUCUUGCUGCUUUGCCACACCUAUGGUGUUUCCUUCAUUUGCUUGGUCCAGUUUUGCUCAUCAUCCACAUCUAGCUAGUUGAAGAAAAGAGAAAGUGAGGAACUUAGAGUUAGCUCUUGUCCAGCUUAAGCCAGCUGAGACCAACAACUCUUCAACUGGGCCUGCAUGAGUGUCCAAUGGGUGACCUUUUGGCAUCACAGGACCAAGAGCUCCACCCUCAGAUCAUGCUAAAGCUGCAAUUUUGUGGACAUGUGUCCUAUGAAGAGCUAUGAAGCUUGACUAUGCUUGUGCACAGCACCAGUUGCCUCACUGUUUCUUACCCCAAUUACCUUUCCCCAUGCCUCAGACCACCUUGCUCCUUUAUCCCGUAAAUACCCUAAAACCCCAUCUUUGGGAGCUGGAUUUGAGAUCUGUUCUCCUGUCUCCUCACUUGGCUGCUUCAUGAAUAAACCCUUUCUCUGCAGCAAAA